rnacentral:lncRNA from 1 species
UUUUUUUUUUUUUUUUUUUUUUGAGAUGGAGUCUUGCUCUUGUCACCAGGCUGGAGUGCAGUGUGGUGCCAUCUUGGCUCACUGCAAGCUCCACCUCCUGGUUCAAGCAUCAAUCCAAUUUUUCUAAAGCAAAUGUUAGCUUCCGGGGAGAAGGUGUGGCAGGACGAUUUCCAGGAGCACAUGGCCCUAGGCAUACUGUCCCUUUGAGAUGGCCUUAGUUUGGGCAGGGAUGCUGCAGGUGGUCAAAGAUGGACCUCCCACCCAGUGGAGGCUGGCCCCUGGCUGUGUGGUGUGUGCAUCGCUGGGCCUGAGUGUGUGUGCAUGCGUGUGUGUGUGUGUGUGUGUGUGUUGUUGGGGUGGAAGUGGGAAGUCAGACCUGUGUGGCGAAAACCCGAGUCUAGUGGAAGGCCUCUUCUGCCCCUACCCACCCUCCUCCCUGGCAGAGGGGGCUGAACUGUGGCCGGAGGGAGCCACGCCAGGCUGGGAUCUCUGAGGGGUCCUUGAACCACAUCUGAGCUCUGGGAAGGCUCCCCGGUGCGUGGAGAGCAGAGAGGGAGGCUCCGUGGUGAUUUACAGGCACCUCCUUUUGAUCGUCUCGCUCCCUUGGAGAGAUCCCUCCUCCACACCUGGGGGCUGCAGGGGAGGCCGGGCGCAGGGGGUUUCCAGGUGGCCUGGGGCAGCAGGGUCUGGUGUCCCUGGGAUGCAGGAAGCUUCCUUCUCUCUGGCAUGGCCUUGCUGGUACCUGGCUGCUUGUGCCUAUCACUGAGCAACCCAGCUCCUGUCCAGCGGGGCGGGGUCCAGAGUGCACCCCUGCCCCCUCACAUCUGGCUCUGCUUCCAUUCUUCCAGGGUCGAUGCGACUGUUUCACUGGCCUCCUCUUCUGCCUAGACCCACGGGGUUUCUUCUUCCUGCCUCCCUGCCUGACAUUCCUGGACUCCACUCCAGGCGUGUGAAAGCCCUGGAUGGGUGUCCCAACAAUUUCAGUUUUUUCUCUGGUCCUAAAGGGCCAAGAAGCCCAGCUUUCAGGCAGGAUCUAGGCACGGCCUGUGGGGUGGUCAGCAGUGGGCAGGUGCAGAUGCAAAGGAGGGCAGAGGUUGCUGAGGCUGUGGACAGCCUUGUGACAGGUUCUGAAAGAGCACUUGAGCUAGGAUGCCCAAGUGGGCCUUCGAGGGAGGCGGCCACUCUGGAGCAGGGCGGGGACAGCCCUCAGGACUCCCUCGGUCCUGACCAUCUUUGGGAGGAACUCCAGCAUGUCCAUGGGAGGGCAGGGGGCCACUGGCAGAGAGGUUCCUUGAGUAUCCCUAGCACUUAGAUAGCGCCUGGUGUAUGAGAGGCAAGCAAUACAUCAUAUUGCAUGCAGGACCAGGGUGCGUGCCCAGGUCCCAGACCCAAGAUGGAGAAGGUGUUUAGCAGAGAGAUUGUUCUGUGUCUGUGCAAAUUGAGGCUGAUACCAGCAAUCCCAGAACAUAUGUGUUGAGUACUUACCUGUACGUUCAGGUAAAUUACCUGCCCCAGCCCAGUCUCCUGUUCCCUCCCCGAACAUUCUCCCCUUACCUGUCCAGGGGCCUCGGCUCCAAGUGGAUGGGACUCCUCCAGCCUGGAGUCCCUUCUGUCACCUCUCCUCACAGCCCACACACUCCCCCAUAGCUCCCCAGUAAU